AUUGAACGCUGGCGGCAGGCCUAGCACAUGCAAGUCGAACGGUAACAGGAAACAGCUUGCUGUUUCGCUGACGAGUGGCGGACGGGUGAGUAAUGUCUGGGAAACUGCCUGAUGGAGGGGGAUAACUACUGGAAACGGUAGCUAAUACCGCAUAACGUCGCAAGACCAAAGAGGGGGACCUUCGGGCCUCUUGCCAUCGGAUGUGCCCAGAUGGGAUUAGCUAGUAGGUGGGGUAACGGCUCACCUAGGCGACGAUCCCUAGCUGGUCUGAGAGGAUGACCAGCCACACUGGAACUGAGACACGGUCCAGACUCCUACGGGAGGCAGCAGUGGGGAAUAUUGCACAAUGGGCGCAAGCCUGAUGCAGCCAUGCCGCGUGUAUGAAGAAGGCCUUCGGGUUGUAAAGUACUUUCAGCGGGGAGGAAGGGAGUAAAGUUAAUACCUUUACUCAUUGACGUUACCCGCAGAAGAAGCACCGGCUAACUCCGUG
rnacentral:rRNA from 1 species